AUAUGAAUAUUUUAAUAGUCCUAAAAUACUAAAAUCAAGCAGAGAAGAAAGCUCUUCCAUAACAAUCACCACGUCGGGUCGAUAUGGGGAUUGACGCGUGCGCCGACGCCCGAUGCAUCGAGACGCUGUUCUCUCAGUACUUUUGAUUGCGGCGAUAUCAGCAAAAACCCUGGUACGAGGGUAAGGAACGGACGACGUGGUUGUGUGGAAAAAUGUUCGAGCUUUAUGGUGUCGGUAAGGAUGGCAUGGUUUAUCGGUCUCCGCCCCCAAGAAGAAAAGAAGUCGACAUUCUGGAAACUUGCUUGCAACUCUCCUCACCAGAACUUAUGAGAAAAUUGCCCAACGGCGAUACACUUCACCACAUCAAGGACACGAGUGUUUCGACUUCCUUCAACAAAGCUAAAGAACCGCUAAGAGAGAGUAGACGAAGUGUUGUAAGAAGAUGGGUAGUAAUGACUGGAUUCUUUUUCCUCGGAUGUGCCUUAGUGGCUGGAGUAGGUCUGCCUCUCGCUUUAGAACUUCGAAGCUCUCAUUUGUUGGAAGCCAGACUGCAGGUAGUCCGAAGAAUGCUGUCAGAGAUUCCUUUGAUUGAUGGGCAUAACGAUUUUGCUUGGAAUUUGCGGAAGCACAGCGGUAGCACGAAGCUAGGUAACUUCCCCUUCGACGAGAAUCUGUCACGUAACGCCAGCUGGGGUCCGCAGUGGCAGACCGAUCUGAUCCGUUUAGAACAGGGGAUCGUUGGCGCGCAAUUCUGGUCGGCCUAUGUGCCAUGCGAGGCGCAAUUCCUUGAUGCCGUACAACUCACCCUCGAGCAGAUCGACAUCGUGCGCAGACUCACGUCGCGCUAUCCCAAGCGGAUCAAGCUGGUGACGACGAGCGGCGAGUUGGAGAAAGCGCAUCGAGACAGAGUGAUCGCCAGCCUGGUAGGGAUAGAGGGUGGUCACAGUAUCGGCACUUCCAUGGCGGUGCUGAGGAGCUUCCACCGGUUGGGCGCACGCUACAUGACCCUGACCCAUAAGUGCAACACGCCAUGGGCGGACUCAAGUUCCGUUGAUGAUCCAAACUCGGACGCACCCUCUGAUUUCCACAGCGACGGCCUCUCGGCAUUUGGUAAAGCAAUUGUUCGAGAACUGAAUCGACUCGGUAUGCUCGUGGACCUCUCACACGUCUCGGUAAGAACGAUGAGGGACGCUCUCGCGGUGACAAAGGCGCCCGUCAUAUUCUCGCAUAGUGCCGCCAAAGCACUCUGCAAUUCUUCGAGCAACGUCCCGGACGAUGUACUACGGAAUUUGUCUCUCAACGGUGGUCUGGUUAUGGUCAGUUUCGAUAGCGCGCAUUUGAGCUGCAGCGAUAAAGCUUCUAUGUAUGAUAUCAUAGCUCACAUCAAUCAUAUAAGACGAACAGCUGGCGUGAAUCAUGUGGGUCUCGGUGCUGGUUACGAUGGGAUAUUGAGACCACCAACGGAAUUGCCGGACGUUUCCGGUUACCCCUUGCUGCUGGCCGAACUGACUAGAGAUCGUAGAUGGUCCGCGACGGAUAUAAAGAAACUGGUGGGUGGAAAUUUGUUACGCGUCCUCAAGGAAGUGGAGAAUCAUGCAGCGACUCUUUCGCACCAGUUUCCGGCGGAGGAGUGGAUUCCUCAGGAACUCAUCGAUGAGAGCGCUUAUUGCAGAUAUCCCGACGCGUAAAAGAUCUUUCGCUCGUGUGUAUGACUAUUUUCGACGGAUGACAUUGUCGUUUCAAUUCUACGAGUCACUCCCUCGCUAAGAAAACUGACCUACUAAAGUGAGUGCGAUUAACAGUUUUGCUGACAGAAGGACAAUUCUCUUAAUAUGAAGAAAUCUAUGUUUUAACUCAAGCACUCAAGGUACAUAA